AAGAUACAUCACUGUCUGGAGGUUCCUACCUUACUAUUGCACUAUUAUAAAUAUAUAUUACUAUUAUACCCUAUUUUGUGCAUUGAAAAAAAUAGGAUGCAGAGGGUAAAUCGUAAAGGUUCUUGGAAACAGUCUCCCUUGUUCGUGCAAAAAAAAGAAGACUGAUGAUAGUGGAUCGCCAUCAACUACAAGCACUGUGGAGUCAAUGGCCAUUUAUGUAGAAGCCAGUAGCUUAAAGCUGUUCAGUGCUAUUAAAGAUUGGGUAGAGAUGAAGUUUUCUGUAUUUAAGUACUGCAGUGGCCAUAUUUAUGGAAUUGUAAGGACUACAAUCAACCAGUCUUCUCAUUACGGUACGUGGCCAUCUUCAUGUGCUUGUGCUAAUUGUAAAUGUGGCGAAGCCAUGAGGUCUGUGUUGGAUCAUGUGACAUGGUCAGAGGUAUUUUCGGGUGAAAUGGACAUUAAUAUUGAGGUAUGUUUAUUUUAAGGUUUUUACUUAUAAAAUUGUUUUUAGAAUUCUAAAGUGAAAGAGAUCCUGGCUAAAUCAAGACAUACCAUUGUCAAUAAUUUCUGUGACGAGUCAGUCAAAGCCUAUCUAUUAGACUUAGUGAAGUGUGUCUUACGCAACUGUUGUUUUAUCAACAUUUGUCACUUGUUAAUGCGUCUAUUCCAGUCAGUACUAAAGGGCACAUGGAAACUAGUAUAAUGGUAGAACAGUUGCUAUCUGGGACUGUAGGUGAAAAAACCAUGGACACUCUAAAUACUAUCUGUGAGUGAUGCUACAUUAUUGCAUACAGAAACUUUAAUAAUGGCGUUUAG